rnacentral:rRNA from 1 species
CCUACGGGGUGCAGCAGUGAGGAAUAUUGGUCAAUGGGCGCGAGCCUGAACCAGCCAAGUAGCGUGAGGGAUGACUGCCCUACGGGUUGUAAACUUCUUUUAUAAAGGAAUAAAGUGAGGCACGUGUGCCUUUUUGUAUGUAAUUUAUGAAUAAGGAUCGGCUAACUCCGUGCCAGCAGCCGCGGUAAUACGGAGGAUCCGAGCGUUAUCCGGAUUUAUUGGGGUUAAAGGGGGCGGAGAUGGGUUGUUAAGUCAGUUGGGAAAGUUUGCGGCUCAACCGUAAAAUUGCAAUUGAUACUGGCAGUCUUGAGUACAGUUGAGGUAGGCGGAAUUCGUGGUGUAGCGGUGAAAUGCUUAGAUAUCACGAAGAACUCCGAUUGCGAAGGCAGCUUACUAAACUGCCACUGACAUUGAUGCUCGAAAGUGUGGGUAUCAAACAGGAUUAGAUACCCGGGUAGUC